CGUUUGCAAGCAUAUGAAUGUGUUCAUAUAUGUAUAUUUUCAUGAGGCAUCUCAAAACUACUCAAUUUUUGAAAUACACUCACAUUAUGAAUGUAUCUUGCUUUAAUCAACCAGUAAUAAUGAAGCGCCAAUGAAACCGUGACAGCUGCACAGUGAAGCUAUUGCUUCUCUCUCUCUCUCUCUCUCUCUACAACAGUAAGCAGGUGAAGGGCAGUGUCAGAAAGAGAGGGAGGGGAAUGACAGGAAGACACAGCAGGUAAGGAAACAAUGAGAUGAAAUGAUCAGAACAGAAACAGACUGGCAGAAGACAGGAAAAGAGUUUGAAAGCAUUUGAUGACAUUUUGGAUUCAACUAAUUGUGAGAUGCUUGUGACUGUGAUAUCUGUAGCCAUGGUGAUGCUGACAGGUCACCUGCUAUAUGGGCUCCCCAUGGACGGAAAAAUUAGAAAUUCUAGAGCCCUUUCAGAAGAAGAGCUGUGUGAUGCAGGAUAUUUCAAGUCAGGCUCUAGUUGUCUUAAGUGCGAUCCUGGUUUCUUCACCAGUCAGAAAAACAGAGAAGACCGUUGCCACCGCUGCUUCCAGAACUGCAUACCUGAAUUCAACAUGACGGUGGUGGUGGCAUGUACGUUUACAUCAGAUGUGAAGUGUCGCUGUCGGGAGGGUCACACUUGCACCGCGACCGAUCAAUACACGGGCCAAUGUCACAGUUGUGCUCCUGUCUCCACCCCAGUCCUGUCCUCCACCUAUGCUGAUGUCCCUUCAUCCACUACAUCCACCACUUCAUCCACGGAGACUGCUGAGAUCAGGCUGGGUGACAAUAGUGUUGGGGUGUUGAUUUUAUGUGGAUUCAUUUCUGUAAUGUUAUCCGUCAUCAUCCUCACGCUGUUCCUCCGGCUCUGCAGGAAGAAAGAGAAGGAAUGUUUUAAGCAUUUUGUCAGGAAGUGCUCGUUGGGUAAUAUGGAGGUGGACAGUGAGACUACACCUCCUACCAGCCAACUAGAUGAGCAGCCCCAUGCCCAGGAGAUGCUGUCACAUGGCAGCACACCCACCAAUCACAACACAGACUGCUCAUUUCAUCAGCCAAUCAGCUCAGUGCAGGCUGUGCCUCCAGCCGGCAAUUUAGGUACUAUAAAGAGCCACUUUUUGUGAUUUUCUUCUUUUAUUAAAAGAAUUGUGAUGCUCAUUUAUCCAGAUCUAUUACUUUGUUUAAAAAAAAUUAUGACCUUAAUAUAUAUCUUAAUGGCAUGAAUUGAGGGGCAUAAACAAAAAAAUGUGCAUGAUACCAUAUUUAAAAAAUGAAUAAAUAAAUGAAUCAUCAUUAAAACGAUGAAAUUCUUGAAAAGUAAAUCUUAUCAAGUAGUUUGGUGUAAUCUUUAAUUAUUGUUUAUUAAAACUUCUUCACUGCUU
rnacentral:lncRNA from 12 species